rnacentral:rRNA from 1 species
UUUGAUCCUGGCUCAGAACGAACGCUGGCGGCGCGCCUAAUCAUGCAAGUCGAGCGAGAAGGUGUAGCAAUACACUUGUAAAGCGGCGAACGGGGUGAGGAAUGCAUGGGUAACCUACCCUCGAGUGGGGAAUAACUAGCCGAAAGGUUAGCUAAUACCGCAUACGUUUCCGGAACUUCGGUUUCGGAAAGAAAGCAAUACCGUGGGUAUUGCGCUCCUGGAUGGGCUCAUGUCCUAUCAGCUUGUUGGUGAGGUAACGGCUCACCAAGGCUUCGACGGGUAGCUGGUCUGAGAGGACGAUCAGCCACACUGGCACUGCGACACGGGCCAGACUCCUACGGGAGGCAGCAGUAAGGAAUAUUGCGCAAUGGACGAAAGUCUGACGCAGCGACGCCGCGUGGGGGAUGAAGGUCUUCGGAUUGUAAACCCCUUUCGGGAGGGAAGAUGGAGUGGGUAACCACUUGGACGGUACCUCCAGAAGCAGCCACGGCUAACUUCGUG